rnacentral:lncRNA from 1 species
GAAGACUCAUUUCUUAAGGCCUUGAAUGAUGGUCAACUCAGCAACCCGUCCUUGUGUCGGCUUUUCCUCCUUCCCAUUCCACUCCCCUAAAUCCUCACACUUGCUCCCUGGAACCACUUUCCAAAUACAUUCGACACACACAAGCCUGUUCUUCAGGCUCUGCUUUCAGGGACACCCAGCCCAGGACAGGUCCUAAAAGAGGCAUGGCUAAGUGACUGUGGGAUUUCAGAGGACAGUCUAGGUAGGCUUCCUGGAAAAGUUGCCAUUUGGGUGGAGGCUUGAAGCCUGGCCGUGCAUUGAUAGGAGCAAGAGCAUGAGCAAAGUCUUGGAUGCAGAAAUGCCCAGGGCAUGAGUGGGAGAAGGGGGGCUUAGAGCCUCUGAAAUAUUACGUGGAUAAAGGAGACUCAUGGAAGACAAGACAGGAGAGAGAAGCAGGAAGCACACCCUCAAGGGUCUCAAAUGUUAGGUAGGGAAUGUGGUCUUCCCCGAAGGCAACAGGUGGCAAAGAGGUCAGUUCUGGGUUUUAGAAGACCCAUAUAGCCUGUGAUGUGGCAGAUGGUAAACACACGUAACAGUGAUUGUUGGCCAAAUCUGACCAUGGAGGGGAGACCAGCCCACAGGCUCUCGGGCGGUUCUGUUGAGAGACGAGAAGGACUGAACCCUGGGUGGGCAGUGGAGACAGAGAGAAGACAAACGAAGGCUGGAGGUGGACUCUACAGGACUUAAUGGGACCAGGGUUGAGGGAGAAAGUAACUCUCAUCCUACCUAAUGGGCUAGGUCAAAGGCCGCUCGUUGCCUAUUUUAAUGAAGAUGCUCUGUAUUGAAUAAUGCUAUUUCUGUCCACGAGAAAAGAAUCUUUAUGUUGCCCAAUGGUCCCAGGUUCAGUCCAUUUAAUCUGACAAAGUGAUGCUUUAAUGAUGAUGUGUACUGAUUCCCAAAGUGCCCUCCACAGCCACACCGUGGGCUCCUGGGAAGUGCUGGCCCGGGUGGCUGCCCAGACAUGGUGUGGCUCUACUUUUAACAAAUACUUGUUGAGGCAAAGCAGUAAUUAGUCAAUCAAUGCUGGCAGGUAUAACAAGCAUCCCCAAAUAUCAGUGGCUAACACAGUAGGAGUUCAUCUUACACUCAUGCCAAGCCCAACAUAGAUGUUCCCUUUGGUCCUCUCGGGGAGCUCAGGAAUUCAGGGUGCUUCCAUCUAGCAUCCCCAAAGAGUCCUUCAUGAGAUCCUUUGCAUCUGGUUGAAGAAUGAGGGAAGAGAGAGGGUGCGAAGGAUUCGGUGCCCCCUAUUGACCACUUUGAUCCAGAAGGGACAUGUCUCUCCUCCCCUCCUAUUCCACUGUAAAAGGCAGUCCCACGGAUGGAAGGUUGAGGAAUGGAGUCCCUGCCUGGACGGCUGCCUCCCCACAGCAGCUCUCCACCGUGGAAGGAGAGUGUGAGACUUUAGUGUUGGCAGUGAGCAAGACACCAUUGUCACCCUCAGAGACCCUACACCCCAGUGGGGAACAUAGAAGCUAUGAAAAGGAAUGUGCUAGAGAAAGGGCCGCUAAGGUGGGCUGGCCUGGGGCAGUGGGCUCCGGCAAGUCUUCUUAGAAGAAUGGGCAUCUGAGCUAAGACAUACAGGGGGUCUGGAGUUAACCAGGAGGAAGUGGAGGAGAGUGUUCCAAGCAGAAGGAGCAGAAUGGGCAAAGGAGGGAAAAAUAAAGCAUGCUGAUUCUAGGAACUGAAAGAAAUUCCAUGAAGACUACAGGAGAGGGAAGCAAAAGAUGGAGCUGGAGAGGGAACUCCAAAACCACGGGUAUUUAUCAUGCUUCAGGCCCUGUGUUGAGCAGUCUGCAAGGAAGAGUUCAUGGACGUCCAAAGCCACAUAGCUAGCAGAUGAUAGGUGUGGUCGUUAGAAUGGACAAACAUGAAGCAUAAAGAUGCUGAACCCAGAAAUACGCAUAUAUUCAACGUAACGUUCCAAGGAUAGCAAGAGAACAAGCCUUGUUUUCCCCUGACUGCAACCAGCUUCAACAUGCCCCACAAUGAUGACUGCAAGGUGUCCCUUUGAAUUGUCUUUAGCUCAGUUGGGCAGAUUGCACUUUCCAAAAAGAUGGCCACAACAGCGUUCCACCUGCCACAUGCCCCUCUCCGGUGUGGCCUUGUCACUGCCCCAUCGACAAGCGGGAGGAGCCUCAUUCCUGUCUCUUGAAUCUGGGUACGCUUGUGACUGCUCAUCCCACGGAGCACAAGGGAAGAGAGGCCGUGUGCCCCCGGGGCUGGUCCUCAAGGGUGAUGCACUUCUGCCUUGUUGGCUAGAACGUUUGCUCCUGGAGCCCCGAGCCACCAGUGAGAAGCCCAGCUCUCCUCAGGCUGCCGUGUUGGGAAGAAGUCAAACCACCUGGAAAGGCACCUGUGGGCAUUCCCGUCCCAGUCCUGGUCUGUGUGUCGUCCCAGCUCACCUGUCAGACUUGUGAAGGAGUGAGCCCUCAAGGGACUCCGGCCCCAGCCUUUGAGUUGUCCUUGCUGGGGCCCCAGAUGUCAUGGAGCAGAGACAAGCCACCCCUACGGUGUCCAGCCCAAAACUUUGACCCACAGAAUCCAUGAGCAUAAUAAAGUCAUCGUCUUAAGCUGCUAACUGUGGAAGUGAUUUUGUUACAUGGUGUUACAGGUUGAAUUGUAUGCGUCAAAGUCAUUGAAGGCCUAGCCCCCAGCACCUCCGGAU